UUUACUUGGAGCCCGAACUCUCACUUUCUAACCCUGUGCAUCUGUUAUUGGUUAGUAGCUCUUCGGAGUGAACUCCAUUCACUUACAAACACAAAGUCUAUGAAUGUAUACAAAAUUAUAACAAAACAAAACUUUCAACAACGGAUCUCUUGGCUCUCGCAUCGAUGAAGAACGCAGCGAAAUGCGAUACGUAAUGUGAAUUGCAGAAUUCAGUGAAUCAUCGAAUCUUUGAACGCACCUUGCGCUCCUUGGUAUUCCGAGGAGCAUGCCUGUUUGAGUGUCAUGAAAUCUUCAACCCACCUCUUUCUUAGUGAAUCUGGUGGUGCUUGGUUUCUGAGCGCUGCUCUGCUUCGGCUUAGCUCGUUCGUAAUGCAUUAGCAUCCGCAACCGAACUUCGGAUUGACUUGGCGUAAUAGACUAUUCGCUGAGGAUUCUAGUCUCGUACUAGAGCCGGGUUGGGUUAAAGGAAGCUUCUAAUCCUAAAGUCUAUUUUUUGAUUAGAUCUCAAAUCAGGUAGGACUACCCGCUGAACUUAAGCAUAUCAAUAA
rnacentral:rRNA from 1 species